rnacentral:rRNA from 1 species
CCUACGGGAGGCAGCAGUAGGGAAUAUUGCUCAAUGGGGGAAACCCUGAAGCAGCAACGCCGCGUGGAGGAUGAAGGUUUUCGGAUUGUAAACUCCUUUUGUUAGAGAAGAUAAUGACGGUAUCUAACGAAUAAGCACCGGCUAACUCCGUGCCAGCAGCCGCGGUAAUACGGAGGGUGCAAGCGUUACUCGGAAUCACUGGGCGGAAAGAGCGCGUAGGCGGGAUAGCAAGUCAGAUGUGAAAUCCUAUGGCUUAACCAUAGAACUGCAUUUGAAACUGUUAUUCUAGAGUGUGGGUGAGGUAGGUGGAAUGCGUGGUGUAGCGGUGAAAUGCGUAGAGAUCAAGAAGAAUACUGAUUGCGAAGGCGACCUGCUAGAACAUAACUGACGCUGAUGCGCGAAAGCGUGGGGAGCAAACAGGAUUAGAUACCCGAGUAGUC